ensembl:lincRNA
AUAUAUCCUAGGUGGCACAACAAGAGAUUGAAAAAAUCUGCGCAGAUUGUUUUACAUACCUCAAUAGAGCCUUUUAUAUAAUUCUGAGUGACUAAUUUCUUUCAGCCUGUUUAGACAGGAUUAGAUCGAACUGAGAAUCUCUCCUAACAUAAUUACGUGAUUAUCUUGGGAUUCUUCUUUUGUUGCUCAUCUUGAUACAUCACAUCAGUUGGAAGAGAAAAUCUGUCGAAUUAUACAUGUCGAGUUCUAGAAUUUUGUGAAUGUAAGCACACAGUCUUUGAGAUGUAAGAACUUUAUGACAUAAUUAUGAAGAUAAACAUUGAUCCUCACAUCUGCUCUGUCAAACUAAGCGUAAGUGGUUCACAGUCUGUACCACAGCUAAAUUUAAAAACCUAUAGGUCUAGCCAGGCGCGGUGGCUCACGCCUGUAAUCCCAGCACUUUGGGAGGCCAAGGCGGGCGGAUCACGAGGUCAGGAGAUCGAGACCAUCCUGGCUAACACGGUGAAACCCCGUCUGUACUAAAAGAAUACAAAAAAUUAGCCGGGCGUGGUGGCGAGCUACUCAGGAGGCUGAGGCAGGAGAAUGGCGUGCACCCGGGAGGCGGAGCUUGCAGUGAGCCGAGAUCCCACCACUGCACUCCAACCUGGGCGACAGAGCGAGACUCCGUCUCAAAAAAAUAAAUAAAUAAAAACAAAAAAAAAAAAACCUAUAAGUCUACAUAUUUUUUAUACCGGCUAACUGUGACCAGAUGACACAGCCUGGACACCAAAACAUAAAAGUCUUCUAUAAGAUUUCUAAAAGUAUA